CCCAGACUCCUACGGGAGGCAGCAGUGGGGAAUAUUGCACAAUGGGGGGAACCCUGAUGCAGCGACGCCGCGUGGGUGAAGGAGCACCUCGGUGCGUAAAGCCCUAUCGGCAGGGAAGAAAAGCGAACAGGUUCGCCUGGACGGUACCUGGCUAAGAAGCCCCGGCUAACUACGUGCCAGCAGCCGCGGUAAUACGUAGGGGGCAAGCGUUAUCCGGAUUUAUUGGGUUUAAAGGGUGCGUAGGCGGACAGUCAAGUCAGCGGUAAAAAUGCGGUGCUCAACGCCGUACAGCCGUUGAAACUGGCAGUCUUGAGUGGGCGAGAAGUAUGCGGAAUGCGUAGUGUAGCGGUGAAAUGCAUAGAUAUCACGCAGAACUCCGAUUGCGAAGGCAGCAUACCGGCGCCCGACUGACGCUGAGGCACGAAAGCGUGGGUAUCGAACAGGAUUAGAUACCCGCGUAU
rnacentral:rRNA from 1 species